AUUAAUUCGAUGCAACGCGAAAACCUUACCUACCCUUGACAUGUCCGGAAUCCCGAAGAGAUUUGGGAGUGCUCGCAAGAGAGCCCGGAACACAGGUGCUGCAUGGCUGUCGUCAGCUCGUGUCGUGAGAUGUUGGGUUAAGUCCCGCAACGAGCGCAACCCUUGUCAUUAGUUGCCAUCAUUUGGUUGGGCACUCUAAUGAGACUGCCGGUGACAAACCGGAGGAAGGUGGGGAUGACGUCAAGUCCUCAUGGCCCUUAUGGGUAGGGCUUCACACGUCAUACAAUGGUCGGUACAGAGGGUUGCCAACCCGCGAGGGGGAGCUAAUCCCACAAAGCCGAUCGUAGUCCGGAUCGCAGUCUGCAACUCGACUGCGUGAAGUCGGAAUCGCUAGUAAUCGUGGAUCAGCAUGUCACGGUGAAUACGUUCCCGGGUCUU
rnacentral:rRNA from 1 species